rnacentral:misc_RNA from 1 species
GGAGGGAUCAUUAAGGCUUACCGUUGAAAGUAUCGGGUGCUGGGGGCUCUCUCGUAGAGUCCUCGGCUCAUUUGUGCGUGGGUUGAAGUCGUAUGCGUUGUUUGCCCAUAAAGUCCCGAUUGACCUCGAAGAGACCUGCGCAGCUCUGCUGCAAAGGUUCGAUUGUAUUACGUUUAUGACCCUUAACGAUGGAUGUCUCGGGUUUGAGAUCGUUGAAGAGCGCAGCAAAGCGCGAUAGUCGAUGUGAUUUGCAGAACAUGUGAUGCAUUAGACUCUUGAACGCAUGUGCGCCUGCUAUGCCUCGUAUAGCAGGCAUGCCUGGUUGAGUGCCAACCACCCUUCCACUCGCCCCCACACGGGGGAGCAACGAGUGGCUGAUGGGAGAGCCUUACGAGGCCCUCUUUAAGUCCAAGAUACGUGGAAGACUUGCGUGCUAGCUGAAGGUUGUCUCGAUGGAUUGUCUCGAUGGAUUGUCUCGAUGGAUUGUCUCGAUGAUCGCGACGGUUUGGCUCGAUGGUUUGUCUCGAUGGAUUGUCUCGAUGGAUUGUCUCGAUGGUUUGUCUCGAUGGAUUGUCUCGAGUCGCGAUGGAUUGUCUCGAUGGAUUGUCUCGAUGGAUUGUCUCGAUGGAUUGUCUCGAUAAAACAGCACAAGCAGCAGGUUGACUCGCAUCACGCUACGAGCGUGCCUGUUUCCCUGGAUUGAUACGAAGGAUUGACUCGAAGGAUUGGCCAACUCGCUUAGGAAACAGCCAUGUUAGUACGCGAACCUUUUUUGGCCUCAGUUCAGGCAGGACCAUCCGCUUAACUUAAGCAUAUUAUUCAGCGGAAGAAAAGAAAACAACCGUUAUUUCCCUAGUAACUGCGAGUGAAUAGGAAGGAGACCAAGGUGAAUCGGCGAGGCUAGCUCCUCUGUCGAGUUGUACCCUGAGGAUCAGCGUCGGUGCCCGUUCGUUCCCCAAGUUAGCUGGAAAGCUACGCCUAAGAAGGUGACAGCCCUGUGGGGGAGCGAAGGUAUCGGGUAUCAUCAGCUGCAUCUACGAGUCGUACUGUUUGAGAGUAUAGUACAAAUCAGCAGGUAAGCCCCUGCUAAGCCUAAAUAUGGCUCAAACACCGAUAGCGAACAAGUACCACGAGGGAAAGAUGCAAAGAACUCUGAAAAGAGAGUUAAAAGUACCUGAAAUCGUUGAGGGGGAACCGGUGGUGACGCUCGAGUUGGGGGAUCGAAUCACUGUUCUGCUGGUGAGGCUAGGUUGUCCACGAGUGCUUACGGGCACUUGUUCGGGUGGCUGAACCGAGCCAGUGGGGCAGGCACUUUGGUCUCUCGCAUCCAUUGUCCCUGCGCGCUGGGACUGUUAGGCUAGAACGACGCUGUGGUUCGCUGCAGGUUUAAGUCUGGCUGAAACGACCCGGCGUUCUGGGAGGGCAAAGAGGCUGCCCUGCGUAGUGUGCGUCUGCUGGCUGGUUGCUGCAGGUGUACAUCCUAGAUGUGUGCUUGCAGUAGCUGGCGUGUGUGGGCGCUGCUGCUAGCCUCUGCUGAUAAUGGGGAGAUCAUCACCGACCCGUCUUGAAACACGGACCAAGGAGUCUAACAUGUGUGCGAGUCUAAGGGUGGCAAACCCGAAGGCACAGCGAAAGCGAGAGUAGCGAGAUGCUGUUGGUUACGAUCGAUGGUUGCAUCGCAGGCCCAGCCUGGGGUUCGUCCUCGGGCUUGGAGUCGGAGCAUGCCUGUUAGGACCCGAAAGAUUGCGAACUUUGCUUGCAUAGGGUGAAGCCAGACGAAAGUCUGGUGGAGGCUCGUAGUCGUACUGACGUGAAAAUCGUUGAUCAAAUGUGAGUAAAGCGGCGAAAGACCAAUCGAGCAGUCUAGUAGCUGGUUCCUGC